ACGUAGGUGGCAAGCGUUGUCCGGAAUUACUGGGUGUAAAGGGAGUGCAGGCGGGACGGCAAGUUGGAAGUGAAACCCAUGGGCUUAACCCAUGAACUGCUUUCAAAACUGUCGUUCUUGAGUGGUGCAGAGGUAGGCGGAAUUCCCGGUGUAGCGGUGGAAUGCGUAGAUAUCGGGAGGAACACCAGUGGCGAAGGCGGCCUACUGGGCACUAACUGACGCUGAGGCUCGAAAGCAUGGGUAGCAAACAG
rnacentral:rRNA from 1 species